UUCGGUCGUGGCGGCGAGUGGCGAACGGGUGAGUAAUGUAGUCGGAACGUGCUAGUANCGGGGGAUAACUACUCGAAAGAGUGGCUAAUACCGCAUACGCCCUACGGGGAAAGGGGGGGAUCGAAAGACCUCUCACUAUUAGAGCGGCCGAUAUCGGAUUAGCUAGUUGGUGAGGUAAAGGCUCACCAAGGCGACGAUCCGUAGCUGGUUUGAGAGGACGACCAGCCACACUGGGACUGAGACACGGCCCAGACUCCUACGGGAGGCAGCAGUGGGGAAUUUUGGACAAUGGGGGAAACCCUGAUCCAGCCAUUCCGCGUGUGCGAUGAAGGCCUUCGGGUUGUAAAGCACUUUUGGCAGGAAAGAAAUCGCAUCAAUUAAUACUUGGUGUGGAUGACGGUACCUGCAGAAUAAGCACCGGCUAACUACGUG
rnacentral:rRNA from 1 species